GCGGGAGUAGCUCAGAUGGAAGAGCUCUAGCCUUCCAAGCUGGAAGUCGCGGGUUCGAUCCCCGUCUCCCGCUCCA
rnacentral:tRNA from 1 species